rnacentral:lncRNA from 1 species
CAAUUAAAAAGUUUUUGGCACAAUUAGACUGCCUUUCAUGCACAGUUUGAGAAACAGUAGAUUCUAAUCCUGUUUUCAGUUAAGAUAAUAAUUUUCUGGCCUUCAGCCUCAUGACCCAGUAGCCAUAAGGAAUCUCAAUUAUUUUACUUAGAUUUGUCACUGCAUGGUUGGAAGAGAGAAAUGGGGAUAUUUAUGUAAACACGCUGUUCUAGAACAACUAAGAUUAAUGACAAAUUUUUUAUGUCUUCCAGGGUGAACAAGGAUUUCCAGGACUUCCAGGGACACCAGGAUACCCAGGGAUCACAGGUCCUACUGGUUUGAAAGGACAAAAGGGUGCUCCCGCUGAAGGAGAAGAUUUAGAACUCAAUGGAAAAGGAGACCCGGGGUUGCCCGGAUUCCCAGGAUUCCAGGGUUUUCCAGGCCCACCAGGUUUUCCCGGGCCCGCUGGCCCUCCUGGUCCUCCGGGACUCUUUGUGAGUAUAACGUCAUCAUUGCUAUUGAUUCUAGAGAAAUUAAUAAUAGCAAAACAUUUUUAA